GAUGAACGCUGACCGAAUGCUUAACACAUGCAAGUCUACUUGAACUUCGGUUUGGGUGGCGGACGGGUGAGUAACGCGUAAAGAACUUGCCUCACAGUUAGGGACAACAUUUGGAAACGAAUGCUAAUACCUGAUAUUAUGAUUUUAGGGCAUCCUAGGAUUAUGAAAGCUAUAUGUGCUGUGAGAGAGCUUUGCGUCCCAUUAGCUAGUUGGAGAGGUAACGGCUCACCAAGGCGAUGAUGGGUAGCCGGCCUGAGAGGGUGAACGGCCACAAGGGGACUGAGACACGGCCCUUACUCCUACGGGAGGCAGCAGUGGGGAAUAUUGGACAAUGGACCAAAAGUCUGAUCCAGCAAUUCUGUGUGCACGAUGACGUUUUUCGGAAUGUAAAGUGCUUUCAGUUGGGAAGAAAAAAAUGACGGUACCAACAGAAGAAGUGACGGCUAAAUACGUG
rnacentral:rRNA from 1 species